AUACCUUUCUCGGCGUUUUGGCUAAGAUCAAGUGUAGUAUCUGUUCUUAUCAGUUUAAUAUCUGAUACGUGGUUCAUAGAACCACAUGAUAUUAAAUGUAUUUUUCUAGGGGGAGGGCCCACUUACAAUAGCUUGCUAUUGGGGCUCUCGCCUGGCGCACCCCAA
rnacentral:snRNA from 1 species